AAGAGAGGCCCGAUGGCAACAUAAACUGCUAACUUAAUGUCCCCUUGGUUAAACCCCAAGGCUCUCUUG
rnacentral:tRNA from 1 species